AAAAGUCUCUUGUAUGCGUUGAGACACAACGCAACGGUCAUGUAGGAUUCAAAUAUAGAAGACUGUUUCUGAACUAUAAGACGACGGAGGAGGAGGAACUCGAAUCGUGGAGGAAUAGAAGAUAGAUCGACGGAACCGGCGGAGGGGGACGAACUCGAAUCUUGAAGGAACUGAACCCAAACAUGUUCGUAAGUUACGUACAUCAGCAUUGAUCUUCCUGUUCUGUUGACUCUCUUUUGUUAUUAUUCAUAUAUAUAUAAAUAUAUAUAUCUGAUUAUGAACCCUAACAUGUUCGGAAGUUACGUUCAUCAUCUUUGAUCUUUCUUAUUCUGAAUUUGAACCUUAGGGUUUGAUUGAUUUUCUAUCAAGAAACUCAUAAUAAGUUUGUGGAUGUUAUGUUGGUAUCUUGAAUUACUUUGAAUGAUGUUAUCGGGAAGAUGAACGUCAAAGAAAGUGCUUGAUGGUCAAAAAGGAUGCGACAGUGGAGGAGUACGUCGUGGUGGUGUAUACGGUGGAGGAGGAUACACAGAGGUUUUGUGAUUAUCACUGUGCCUCUCUGUUCAGAUGGAGACUCUUGAGCGUGAUAUGUCAAGAAAAAUUACCUCUUUCCACCACAUAGACCAUAUCAUUUGUGUAUGCGGAACAACUAUUAUCCAUUUAUACCAGCCUCACAGAAAUUUACUUGAAAGAGCAAAGAUCAGAUUCAGUUUUAUGCCAAGAAGAUGAAACAAACUCCAUGGUUCUAAUGCUCUGUAAGUGACAGCUGAAUCUUACUUUAAUUCUUGUAUAUCUUUCUGGCCAUGUGUCCACUGAGGUGGUGAAGUCAAAACUUGAGAAACAAAGGCUAUGUUACUGCCUUGCUGGUAUGGAUAUUGUUGGAAGUCAAAGACUUCAAAGGAGGUCUGAACAAAAGAUCCUGGUAUGAUACUUAAAUUUUUAGUCUUUAGAAAGGAACAAAGAGCUGACAUGAUCCAUAUUUGUAGGAUAAAUUUAUCCAAGUUUGAGGAACUUCAUCACAAACUCAAGAACUAAAAGAUAUUCUUUCGAUUGUCUUCUCUCACCCUUAAUAUCAGUAGUCCACGGUGCUACGAAGUUUUCAUUUCAUUAGCUAAGUGAGAUAUUACCCAAAAGUAAUGAACAUGUGUUUCUUCUUGCUAGACACUAUUUCCAAGUCUGAGGAGGACAAGGAGAAGCUCUAUAUAAGAUAUGAGCAACUAAAUACCUGAAUAGGAGAGGUUCUACAAAGAAAAGCUUGCUCAGUUGGAAGAAUCACUCAAGUGCAAUCCCUAGCUAAGAAAGAUGAAGUUCUAGAGAAAAGACAAAAACUGGAGCACGAAACAAAUUUGUGGUCUAUUGCAACAGCUGAAAUGUAACUAUUUCUUAGUUAGGAGGACAAUGAGAGACUAUAUGUGAAAAGGAACAACUAAGGAAAAGGAGAAGACAAUGAUAUCAUGAGAGGUUCUACACAGAAGAGCUUCCUCAAUUAGAAGAAUCACUAAGACGAAUUGUGAGUACAUGUUGCAAAGAUGAAUGAAGAAGAAUGGAAGAACUUUUCUGCAGAACAAAAGGAUCGGUAAGAAAUGAGUUCUUGUCCCAUAUCAAUUUUGUGAAGUAAUGAAAAGUUGAUAAACAAAUAUCAAACUUUUUUGCAUAUUAUUGAACUGGGAGAUAUACAUAUUGUAAAGGAUAUGAGAAUUAAGGAUCUAAUUGUAAUUAAGAUAGUCCUAGGGUUCUCAUUGUAUCCUAUAUAUAUUGUACACAUUACAACUAAUAAAAUAUCACUCAUAUUAUCUAUA